AUUGAACGCUGGCGGCAGGCUUAACACAUGCAAGUCGAACGAGUGGAGGACGGGUGUGACAUGCUUGGGAAUCUAGCUUAUGGAGGGGGAAAACUACGGGAAACAGUAGCUAAUACCGCGUACCCUAGGAUGAGCCCAAGCGGGAUUAGGUAGUUGGUGAGGUAAAGGCUCACCAAGCCGAGGAUCUCUAGCUGGUCUGAGAGGAUGACGGGCCAGCCUGGGACUGAGACACGGCCCGACCUCCUUCGGGGGGCAGCAGAGGGGAAGAUUGCGCAGUGGGGGCAACCCUGACGCAGCCAUGCCGGUGGUAUGAAGAAGGCCGUCGGGUUUUAAAGUACUUUCAGACGGGAGGCGUUACCGACAGAGGAAGCACCGGCUAACUCCGUGCCAGCGGCCGCGGUAAUUC
rnacentral:rRNA from 1 species